rnacentral:ribozyme from 1 species
UGCCCAGCAACUCCUAUCCCUACCUCCUCACGGUUCUGGCCGGAGUACAAGCAACCUUAGGGAAGAUCGGGUUGUCAACCCCGGAGGGAACUUUGGUCGUAUGCUGACAUGGAAAGG